UUAGAGCAGCUGCUUUCCAAGUGUCU
rnacentral:piRNA from 1 species